CGCGUCCUGCCGCACGCGUGUGCUUCUUCUUCCCCGGAGACCCCGAGGUGCUGAGCACACCCCGCCUCUGGAGCGGGGGAAGUGCCUUUGCUUCUGAGUCCAGGGAAGGAGAAACGGCAGUCUGAGAGAAAAAUGAAAUAUUUCUCUCUGAUACAGAAGAUACAAUUGCAGCAUUUGAAAAAUAAUUCUAACUCAGGACCUAACCAUGAUCAGCAAGGUGAGGAGCAGUUCACACCUCCUCUGGCCAAGCCCCUCAGGAUGUGCUGCCUGAGCUUCCUGCUGAAGGUGACACUCCAGCAAGAGCUGCCUUUCAGAAUUGGGAAAUUCAACCAAUAUGGACAAAAGUAUCAACGUUUAUGUCUGUCUUUAGUUUUUGCAUUUCAGUAGUUGAGAUUUCACUGAAAAUUCUUUGAGUUCUUCAGCACACAGAAGAUUAGAAUUAGUAUCAUAAUGAAGAGUAAAUAAGGCCUUUCUUAGGUACCAGAAGGCAAUCAAGGAAAUCUCUUUUCUAUCUUUCCAAGUCUCAUCUGGUACUAUCAAGAUUAAAUGAAGCACAACUCAUGGUUAAUGAAGUUUUUACUAUUCCAAUAAAAUAAAAUUUAGUCUCUUAAAAUGCUUCCCUUUUGCCUUUCAUACGCAAUUUCUGUCCAUGCUUUGUCUAUUUUAGUGGAGUUAUAUGCCAUAUUUAGCUUUUAGAUUUUACUAAUUUCAAAACAUUGUCAAAUAGACACACUAGUGUGUCUUCUCUAUAUAUUGUCAGCCUGAUUCACAUGCCUGUAAGUUCAUCUAAGACUCUUUGCACAGAAAACAAAUGACAUUCAGGGAAAUACCUAUCAGUUUUUCAAUAACUGCUGUUCAGUUAGGAUUAUUAAAAAUCUCAAACUUUACUCUCCUACAAUUGCAGAACAACUGCAAUUUAGUCAUUUUAGAGGCUGGAGUCCAGUUUAAGAGGGUGAUUUUGGCAAUAGGUACUACAGUGAUUAAUGAUAUUUCAGUAGCUUUUCCAUUACUCCCUGCCUAGAGAAAAAACAAACAAAUAACAAAAAACCCCACAAAAAAUCAACAAACAAAAAAACCCACACCAAACCCAUAAUGGCAGAUUAGUUGCUUGCCUUUCACUGCUUCUUGUAAAAUGUUAAUGGACUCCUAAAGGUUUCAUUUUUGAAUGAGAACAAUUUCAACAGGAGCUGUAGGAGAUGCAGAGGACAUUCAAGGAACUUGUGAAAAUUCCUUAUGUUCUGCUUUAUAAAGUCUGUUUGGCACAUUUGGCAGAAGCUGUGAAUCUGACUCUGAUUUCCAAGCAUUUAAACAGUCCAAAUAAAAUGCUGGUUCUGUAAUACU